UGAAAUAUGGUUGCUUUUGUGGCUUGGGAGGCCAUGGCCAGCCCCGCGAUGCCAUUGACUGGUGCUGCCAUGGCCACGACUGUUGUUACACUCGAGCUGAGGAGGCCGGCUGCAGCCCCAAGACAGAGCGCUACUCCUGGCAGUGCGUCAAUCAGAGCGUCCUGUGCGAGAUGGGGUUUCGCUAUGAUGCCCUGGCUAGUCUUCAACUCCUGGACUCAAGUGAUCUGCCCACCUCAGCCCCCUAAAGUGCUGGGAUUACAGGCCUGAGCUGUGUAAUUUCAUGCCGCGUGACACAGCCCAGUAAAAAGGAAGAAACCCCGCGGGUCCAGCGUCUACUCACACAGGUGGACUGAUGGCUGAUAAAUCCCAGCAGGAGCCAAAAGAGCAGCCACAGCACCCAUCUACUCACACAGGUGGACUGAUGGCUGAUAAAUCCCAGCAGGAGCCAAAAGAGCAGCCACAGCACCCAUCUACUCACACAGGUGGACUGAUGGCUGAUAAAUCCCAG
rnacentral:lncRNA from 1 species